rnacentral:lncRNA from 1 species
UAACCCACUGAAUGAGACCAGGGACUGAACCUGUGUCCUCAGGGAUACUAGUCAGAUUCACUCCCACUGAGCCAUGACAGGAACACCCUCCUAAGAAUUCUUAAGCUUUAGUUUUUUUAUACUUCUGUCAUCAUAAUAAGUACACAUUUUAUUCAUGCUUAUAUAACCCACACAUAUUUUAGCAUAUGAGAAAUUCCAAUUGUUUUAAUUAAGAAACCAAAGGAAUUCCCUCUAAUUACUUUGUUCUUAAUUCUUUAAACUGUUCUUUUGUAAAUACACUAAGUAGAAAAGACCGUAUUUGAUAGUAUUCCAAUCUACUUCAAGCUCACAUCUUCUUAGCAACAAAAAGACUAGGUAAAGUUUUCAAUGCCAGAAGACAGUUUAAUGACCAUUCAGACUCACUAGCUGUCAGACGUAAAGAAAAAACAAAAUAAUUCCUAAUGUUUUGACUUUUAGGAUAUUGCCUCUGGGAUUCAUGUAUAUACUCUCCCCUUUACCUACUCUCUUCAGCUGGCUAACUUCUGUUUAUCAUGAAGAUCUCGGCUUAGACAAAGCUUCUUGCAGGAAGUUAAGGCAACCUUCCAUUAACCCAAUAGUUCUCAGCUGGGUGCAUCUUUGCUCUUCCCCUCAGAGGACAUCUGGCAAUGCCCUCAGGCAUUUCUGGCUGUCACAUCUGGGGGGAGGUUGCUACUAGCAUUCAGUAGGUGGAAGCCAGGGAUGCUGCUAAACAUCGUAUAAUGUGCAGGAAAGGAAAGCUCCACAAAAAAAAAAAGACUGUCCCCAGUGGGCCCAUACUAAGAAACUCCAAUUUAACCCAUUUGAGCACCUGUCACAUCAUAUUGUAUUUGCAGGGUUUAUGCCCCUGAGUUCAAAAGCAUGCCUUGAUUUUCACUGCAUGUUUCUUGUUUCUUGUAGACCUAUGACUCAUUAGGUAGAUGGUAAAAACAAAAUGACUGGCUGGCUGAAUUAAUAAAUGAAAUUACUAAUAAUAAACAAGAAAAGGAAGCAAAAAUAAGACCAUGGCAUAUUCAUCGUUAAUAAAAUAUUUUUUAGAUUGUCUAAUUAAAAUUUUCCAGUUUACAAAGCUCUUUAAAACCAAGACCUAACAACUAGGAGUUCCUGCUGUGGCAUGGUGGAUUAAGGAUUUGGUGUUUUUUGUUUGUUUUUCUGCAGCAGAUCAGGUCACCACUGAGGCACAGGUUAGAUCCCCACCUAGGAGCAGUGGGUUAAGGAUCUGGUGUCACUGCACCUGGGGUGUAGGUUGCAGCUGCAUCUUGGAUUCAAUCCUUGGCCUUGGGAACUUCCUUAUUCCACAGGUGUGGCAAAAAAAAAAAAAUGGCUGUGAAAACCACGAUUCAACAACUCAGCCAGGUAAGCAAGUAAAGCAUAAGUUAUGAACACCAUUUUUACAAAGAAGGCACAAAUCCUCAGAGAAGUUACAAGCCUUGCAAAUGUAAAUGAUAAAUAAUCUAGCACUAGAGUAUUUUACAAAGACUUUACUGAUUAUUUGUAACAAAAUUUUAGGUACUUAGAAAAAACCAGUUGGUUGUGGAGUAGAUGUUACACUCUUUUAAAUUGCCAAAGAAAAAUUUUAGCUUUGGGCAAUCAUAACCCAAUAAACACUCAACUUCAGCUAACAAAAGCCAAGUGCCACUGACUCUAAGAAGGGUUGGCCUAAUAAAAUAGUACAAUUAUGGGCUAAUGUGUCACUUAGCAAUUCCCUUACAGGUAGCUCAAAGGCACCAGGGACUUAUCCCAGGUAAUGAUGAAAAUAAACUGUUCCUUGUUAAAUUUCCAUCAACCAGACUGCCUGCCCAUUUCGAACACAGAAUAUAUACAGUGGAGUUCUCCAGAGCAAGUUUCCUGGACUUGAAACUCAGCUCCGCACACUCAUUUUUCGUAUUUCUUUGGCAAAUAUCUCCACAUCAAUGUAUGUGCCUCAGUUCUCAUCUGCAAAGUGAGGAUUAUAAUGACAACCAUUUCAUAGGAUGGUUGAGGAGGUUAAAUGUGUUCAUACACGUGAGGGAGGCACUGAAUACCUGAAAUGGGGCAGCUGUCCAAUAAUUUUAUCAGUCAUCCAUCCAUCCAUCCAUCCAACUAAUUUGAUGCAGGUACUGUCUCACUGAAGUUUAUCAUAAAGUAAAAGACCUCAUAAUCUGAGGGAAUUUCUCUGCAGAUGUGAUAUCCAUCAAUCCAUCUGUCUUAUCUGUAUCAUCUCUCUAUCUAAUCUAUCAUCAUUUUUGUUUGCUUUCCCACAUAAAGAAUUUUUGCUGGAGAUAAAUAAGCCACACCCACAUGCUAUGUGUCUUUUCUAUACCAAAUAUCUAAAACUGAUCCAUAACUACUUUGACUAAUGCAGUGAGCAUAUGUAUUUCUUGGUUCCCCAGCAUACUAUUAAAUUUACCUUCUUUGGUAACAAAGCAAACUUUGUGGGGGGGGGAUUGCCUUACUCGGGGUUUUUCAUAUUUCAAGUGAUCUAUUUCUAUAACUUUUUCAACAAAGCAAAGGUAUUACUUUGGCGUGGAAAAUUAAUCAGUAUUGCUCAUACUGAAAUAAUGUAAAAAACUCUUUGAAAAGAAAUUGUCAUUGACUCCCUCUCCAGCCUUGACCUCUAUUAUAUCAAUUACAAUGCUGUGUAAAUGUAUAUAAACAUAAAAUAAAGCUAGGCAUUAACUCAUUCGGCUAAAUUAACUGAAUAUAAAACUAAAAAUAGGAUGAAAUUUUGCUCUAAUAACAGUGAAAAACUGGUACUGGAACAUCACUGUUGGGUUUAAUAGCAUGUGGCAAACAGUGUGCUGAGCCACCCAGCUUGCCCUUCAAGGAAGGACAUACUGCCCAGCUGUGAGGACUGCAGGCUCCAGCUGUCACCUUCUUCAAGGUCUGUCUCAGCUGUAGUCUCCUGGUCCAAGGUCACACCUUUCCUGGAGCAGCCUGCAUCUGGCAACUGUGUGAGGUGGGGAUGUAAAGCCCCCCACUUUCUGCUUGAUGGGGAGAGCUCUGACAAGCAAUGCUCACCCAGAGUUCCCUGCCAGGCUGGCCAAGGUACUACGGAUCAGCAUCAAAGUUCAACUCUUCCUUCUACCUAGUCCUGUUCCCUCGUCCUUUCUUCUCUAGACACUGAUCUCAAAUAAACAUCUUAACAUCCCACACUCUCUGCUUCCAGAGAAUUUGAACAACACAGAAUUUUCUACAGCACAGUAAAAAGAAAAGAGCCUGGGCUUCUGUAUUUUUAGUUUGGUACUAAAUGGACAUUUAAUGAACAGCACAAAACUGUGUUAAGAGCCUCAGUCUGCAUUUGCUCAUCUUCAGCUGGGGCAUGAGGAAGGACAACAUGCGACUUAAGAACACAAUUCAUUUUUACUUUUUUUCCACUGUUCAAUAAGCUACACAGCUAAACCUCGUAAUUAAAAGCUCCAGCAGCUCGUCUUCCCAUUAUACAGAACAGAAAAUCUUUAAUGAAAUAUCAGACAAAAGAAGACACAAGGAAACUGAAAACUCUGCAAAGCAUAAACAUUUGCUGGGUGAAAACACUGCACGAAACAGGCAGUUAUUUUAAUGAGGCAUUGUACCAAUUAUUUCAUAAAACAUUGCACACAACAUGGAUGAUAAUUCCAAAACACACCACACAGGAUAAUUAUUUAAGGCUGCUCAAUAAAUGUUUACUUCAAACUGGCAAUUAUUUCUUUAACAACGAUGAGACAUUCAGGAGUUUGCAAAACCUGGCAUAAAUAAAUAGGCUGGAAGAAAGCCUAUGUAUGUACCAGAGUGGAAGUUUCAAAGGCUUUAGGAGGGUAAACACAAAUGAAAAUUCUUUUCUUGCUAAACAAGCCAUUUCUCCUGUAUUCAUUCAUCUCUUCAAUUUACUCAUUCAUCAAAUACUUAUGUGUCACCUACUUUAUAUCUUGAGCUGCGGGGAUAAAAAAGAAACCCUGUCCUCAAGGAGGAGCUUACAACCUACAAGACAGAGCCCAAUCCACACAAAGAACUCAAUAUGAUUGACAUGUGCUACAAGGAAGGUAUGAAUAGGGGUGCCCUUGUGUCUCUCCCCAACUCACCCCCACCUCACUUCCCUUUUCUCUGGCCACUCCAGUCUGAUUUAUUUUUCUCAACUCUCCAAAAAUGUCCAUAUGACUAUUGAGAACUUGAAUGUUGGUUACUCUAAAGUGAAAUGUGUUGUGUGAAAUAAGCACAAGAUUUUGAAGACUGUACAGAAGAAAAAUGUAAAAUGGACCAUUAGUAACUUGUUAAUAUAGUUAUGUGAUGAAAUAAUAUUUUAGAAAAAUUGGGUUCUAGAAAAGAUAUUAUUAAAAUUAAUUUUAUCUGUUUCUUUUUAAAUUUAUUUGUUUUCUUUUUUUAUGGCUGCAACCUGCAGCAUUUGGAAGUUUCUGGGCUAGGGGUUGAAUCAGAGCUGUGGCUGCGGCUGCAGGCCUAUACCACAGCCACAGCAAUGCCAGAUCCGAGUCUCAUCUACAACCUACACAGCAACUAGUGGCAAUGUGAGAUCUCUAACCCACUAAGUGAGCCCAGGGAUGGAACCCUCAUCCUCCUGAGCACUAAAUCAGGGUUCUUAACCCACUGAGCCACAAUGGAAACUCCUGUUUCUUUUUUUAAGUGUGGAAAAGUUAAAAUUACUUACAUGGCUCACACUCUAGGAUGACACCUCUGGUCUGGAACACUGACCUGUUCUUGCUUUCUUUGCGGUAUUCUGGUAUCAGCUUAUUUUCUUGACUUCAAAGAGGUUCUGGCUGACCACCAUUCUAAAGAAGACACACCACUCUCACCCACUCAGUCACUCUCACAUUCUCCAUCUUGUCUUUUUUUUUUUAUUAUAGUAAAAAAUAUAUAUAACAUGAAAUUAUCCCUGCUAACAAAGUUUUAAGCAUACAUACCAUAAUGUUGUUGCUAUGUGCACAUUAUUGUAUAGUAAAUCUCCAGAACUACUUUUUUUAUCUAGUAUGACUAAAACUCUAUAUCCAUUCAACAACUCCCCAUUUCUCCCUACCCCUAAACCUUGGCAACUAACAUUCUACUCUUUGUUUCUACGAGUUUGACUUUUUCCUAGGUGGCAUCACACUGUAUUUGCCUUUCUAUGACUGGCUUAUUUCACUUGGCAUAAUCUCCUCAAGGCUCAUCCAUGUGGGGGCAUAUGACAAUAUUUCCUUCAUUUUUAAAGCUGAAUGAUAUUCCAUUGUAUGUAUAUACCACAUUUUCUUUAUUCAUUCAUUUGUCAAUAGAAUUUAGGUUAUUUCCAUCUCUUGACUAUUGUAACACUGCAGUGAACAAACAGCUACUUCAGAAAACAGUAUGGAGUGUCUUCAACAAAUUAAAACUAGAGCUACGAUGUGUCCAUCCAUCCUACUUCCAGGUAUUUACACAAAAGAAUUGAAAUUGGGAUCUUGAGGAAACCCUGUGUCCAAAUAAUUUUCUCUUUAGCACUCAUUACUAUCUGAAAUUACCUUAUUGUCUUUUUUCUUUACUUUGUAUCAUCCCUCUCAGAAUAUAAGCCCCAUGAGAGCAGAGAACUAAUACACCACAUUCACUAUUGAAUCUACAGCUAUAACAAAAUACCCACCACUUAGUAAAUGUUCAAUACAUAAUUAUUGAACAGGUAAAUGAAGAUUCAGUGCACACCUAGGUAAAGGAGCAUCCAAGUCUGUCUGGGAAGACAAAGGAGGGAGUCCUCGAGAUUGAGGGUAUUUGGCUAGGUUCUCUAGGAAGAGGGAUCCCAACUGUCUUCCUCUCCAGUCAACCACCUUUUUAUCCAUCUUUCCACCACUAAUCCAUCUACUUAAAUGGAUCUUUAGUACUUCUGUGUCUCAGCCACUGUGCUAGUUUCAGAGAAAUACAAUAAGGAAUAGGAUUAAACAGGGCCCUGCCACUAAGUAGCUUAUGAUCUAGAAGACCAACUAGUGUGAAUAGUUUUUUAACUAUAUAAACAAUUACUUAACUAUAGUUCUGAUGAGUUCUAGGGAGGGCCAUGUGUCCAGGGCAACAGAAAAGGUUUACACGGGUGAGCAAUAUUUAUACUAAGACCCAGAGGGUACAAAGGAGUCAGCCUGAGCAUAGUCCUAGAGAGAAAAGGCAGGAAGAGAAGUUCAGAGAAAUCUAUUUUAUUCAGUUCUGUUGGGGCAUAAAAUAUGCCUGUGGGACAGAGUGGCCAGUAUGAAUGUAGGUAAUUUUACAGAAAGCAUAUAUAUCAGCUAAAAAAAAUAUACAUUGAUGUAGAAUAAAUAAUUCAACAAUGGUUCUAAGCUUCGAAGGCAAUGCCACAUAACUUCUUAAAUGGAAUCUUAAUCAACUCUUAAAUCUGAUUAAAUAAUCAAAAUUUGUUUUUAGAAAAUUUGAAAAAAUAGCAAUGAAAGAAACUUAAU